rnacentral:rRNA from 1 species
AGAUGCGAGAGUAGAGCAUAUCAAUAAGCGGAGGAAAAGAAACUAACAAGGAUUCCCCUAGUAACGGCGAGUGAAGCGGGAAGGGCUCAAAUUUGAAAUCUUCAAGGGUUUCCCUUGACGAAUUGUAGUUUAAAGAAGUGUUUUCUGUUAGAGAGGUGGUAAAAGUUCUUUGGAAUAGGACAUCAUAGAGGGUGAGAAUCCCGUAUUUGAUCACUUUCUACUAACGUUGUGAUACACUUUCAAAGAGUCGGAUUGUUUGGGAAUGCAGUCCAAAAUGGGUGGUAAAUUUCAUCUAAAGCUAAAUAUUGGCGAGAGACCGAUAGCGAACAAGUACCGUGAGGGAAAGAUGAAAAGAACUUUGAAAAGAGAGUUAAACAGUACGUGAAAUUGUCAAAAGGGAAGCGUUUGACACCAGUGUUGUUUUUCCGAAAAUCAAUUACGAUGUUUUAUUUUUGAGAAGUUAUGACUUCAUCGGCUUGCUCUCUUCUUUAUGAAACUUUCUUAAUGCACUUUUCGGUUAACAAGUCAACAUCAAUUUCUUUUGUUGUAAAAGGGUAUGAGGAAGGUGGCUUUCUUUUCGGAGAAAGUGUUUAUAGCCUUGUACCUCUGCAAUCGGAGAGAUUGAGGUCUGCAGCGUAGAUCCUUCGGGGUUAGAUACAUUUGUGCUAAGUUAUAGCUUUUCAUAGACAACUUGUUGACUAUGUUUAGUCUUGUAGCUUACUCGCUUACGCUAUUUUACCUACGCUUAGGAUGUUGACGCGCGUGUGUGCGUG